rnacentral:rRNA from 2 species
AUUCAGUUGGGCACUCUAGAGAGACUGCCGGUGACAAACCGGAGGAAGGUGGGGAUGACGUCAAGUCAUCAUGCCCCUUACGCCCUGGGCUACACACGUACUACAAUGCUGUGGACAGAGAGUUGCCAACCCGCGAGGGCGAGCUAAUCUCUUAAACCACGGCUCAGUUCAGAUUGCAGGCUGCAACUCGCCUGCAUGAAGGCGGAAUCGCUAGUAAUCGCAGGUCAGCAUACUGCGGUGAAUACGUUCCCGGGCCUUGUACACACCGCCCGUCACACCAUGGGAGUUGGCCACGCCCGAAGUCGUUACUCUAACCCGUAGGGGA